CGGCGGCGCCUUCCCGGGAGAAGUUGCGGGCCCAGGCGCGGAGCUGCAGCUGGACGGCGUGGCGGCGCAGGCCGGGGAAGGUCCGGGCGUCCACCAGCACGAAGCGGGAGGCGUUGACGGCCAGGCGGCCGUCCGGGGCCAGCCAGUGUUACCAACAGGAGGAAACUUCCUUGGCCGUGAGGCUGCUGCUGCCCACCCUGAGACAACUGAGAAAGAUCCUCCUCCUGCAGCUCUGCACAAGUUGGUUUCCACCAUCCUGAAUAAGGUGGGCCCCAGGAGCCUCUAGAGCGCAGGGCUGCUCACCCCACAAGCUGUUCUCUGGAGUGGCAGCCCGGAAAUGGUCUACAACCAAACCACUCUUUGCCUCUGAAAGGCACGCCAGUCGCACCCAGUGGAACAGCUCCACGCUGGACUAAGCACCUGCCAAAGAACUUGCUCCAAUUCACCUGCCGGCCAGCAUUUGCCUUCCUGUUUGGGCCUGUUCCUGCUUUGCCCAUCUGGGGCAAGGAAACCACCUUGGGCCAAGUCAAAGCCAGCCUCCUUGCCACCUGGGCCCCAGGUGCCAGGACUUUGUUCUUGGCUCACCCUGUUGUGGGGAAGCCUCCUGGAUCUGGAGGGUCUUAGCUGGCCUGGGAUGAACGUAAUACCCCCCACCCACCCACCCACUUGGGCCCACUGUCCAGAUGGCAGGCUGUGUCUAUGUCAGGGUGGGCCCCUCCAACUGAGCAGAAGCUGGGAGUGAGGAAAACUGCCUUCGGGUGGGUGGGGGGAUUUUUCUGGAAACGAGAGGCUUGUAAGGAGAGCCAGCAGGCACAUAUGACAACCCAGGGAACACACAGGAACCGAGAGCUGGAAAUCACCUCGAGGGUCAUCUAGUCCUACCUCCUGUACAAUGCAGGAAACUCACAACUGCCUUCCCUCCACUCCUCCUCCAGUGAUCCCUCUUCCGUGCCUGAAGGAGAGCAAAAAAUCCCGCAGAUCCCUGGCCAAUCUGGCCUGGAGGGAAGUUCUUUCCUGACCCCAAAGUGGCAACCCGCAUUGCUCUGGGCAUGUAAGGAAGGGCCACAAGAGCAGAACUUUGGCUCAUUUCUUUCCCCCUCAUGAUCUGCCUCAAUUCACAAAAUGAGCCCUGCCGUCAGAUGGCCCUCCGCUGUCCUCUGCUUAAAAACCUUUGAAGGAGAGCCCACAUCCCUCGGAGGAGGCCUGUUCCACGGAGGAGCAGCUCUGUCAGGAAGUUCUUCCAAAAGUUCAACUGAAAACUCUUGAUUUCGACCUGUGGAUUCUGGUCUUACCUUCUGAGGCAACGGAAAACCACUUCGUCCUCCAUAUGACAGCCCUUUAAGCUAUCAGAUCAUCUCUCAGUCAUCUCUCUAAGCUAAACAUCUCUCUCCUAACAGACCUUGGUCUUUGGACCCUCACGACCUUCACUGCUCUCUUCUGGAUGUGUUCCAGCUGGUCUGCCUCCUUCUUUAACUCUGGGGCCCAAAACGGAACACAAUUCUCUAGGUGAGGUCUAACACAGCAGAGUGUAUGGCGUUACCGUCCUUUUGUGUGAACUGGACACUACCUCCGUUGCUACAGCCCAAAAUCACGUUAGCCUUUUCAGCUACUGCAUAACACUGUUGAGUUCAGUAUACUGCCAGACUCCAUGAUCCUUUUAGGAUGUGCCUCUGCCAAGCCAAAUGUUCCCCAUGCUCUAAUCAUGCAUUUGAUUUUUGCUACGUAAAUGAAGAAUAAAAUUCAUUUUGUCA